ACAGAUCCACCGAAAGCAAAUCUGUUCAAAACGGCACCGCUGUUGGGGCCGGGAGCUGCAGCUGGAGUGUCAGAGAUAGUAGAAGUUGGGACACCAGUUGGGGAAGAUGAAGGAGCGGUCUCUGGAGGAGGAGAAGGAGGAGAGGUGGUGGUGACGGGGGAUGGUGCAUCUGCACUGGGUGGUGGAGUUGUCAAAGGAGAAGGUGCAGAUGCCGGUGGCUUCACGGUGCUUGGUGCUGGGGAAGAGGCUUUUGGUGGUGAUUUGGAGGGUGAGGUUGCAGGGGAGGAUGCUGGAGGUUGUGCAAUUGUGGAGCUCGCUAGGAAUGUGAUUAGCAUCAAGAAAACAAUGCUCUUGUUUCCAGCCAUUUCUUGAAGAGUUAUGAGAGAAGCAAGG
rnacentral:lncRNA from 1 species